rnacentral:rRNA from 1 species
GGGUCAGUAGGUUGGUCGUGCCACCGGUACGUACUGGUCUCACUGAUUCCUCCUUCCUGAAGAACCGUAAUGGCAUUAAUUUGGUGUUGCGGGGAAACAGGACUGUUACUUUGAAAAAAUUAGAGUGUUUAAAGCAAGCUAACGCUUGAAUACAUUAGCAUGGAAUAAUGAAAUAGGACGAUCGAUCCUAUUUUGUUGGUUUCUAGGAUUGACGUA